rnacentral:rRNA from 1 species
CGGUAACUCUAGCUCCAAUAGCGUAUACUAAAGUUGUUGCAGUUAAAAAGCUCGUAGUUGGAUUUCUGCGGGGACGGAGCGGCCGGUCGCAACUUGCGACUCGAGCUAGCGCUUUCCCCGCAUCCUGCCGCGAACCGUGCUACCAUUAGUUUGGUGGCGCUGGGGAUCGGCUCGAUUACUUUGAGAAAAAUAGAGUGUUCAAAGCAGGCCACACGCCUUGAAUAAGUUAGCAUGGAAUAAUGACUAAGGACUUUGGUUCUUUUCGUUGGUGUUCGGGACUGAAGUAAUGAUUGAUAGGGACAGUUGGGGCGGUCCGUAUUCCAAAGCGAGAGGUGAAAUUCUUAGACCUUCGGAAGACGAACAGCUGCGAAAGCGUUCCGCAAGGAUGUUCCCUUUGAUCAAGAACGAAAGUUGGGGGAUCGAAGACGAUCAGAUACCGUCGUAGUCUCAACUAUAAACUAUACCAGCUAGGGAUCGGCCAACGUUUAAUUUAUCGACUUGGUCGGCACCUUAUGAGAAAUCAAAGCAUCUGGGUUCCGGGGGGAGUAUGGUCGCAAGGCUGAAACUUAAAGGAAUUGACGGAAGGGCACCACCAGCCGUGGAGCCUGUGGCUUAAUUUGACUCAACACGGGAAAACUUACCAGGUCCGGACAUAGUAAGGAUUGACAGAUUGAUAGCUCUUUCUUGAUUCUGUGGGUGGUGGUGCAUGGCCGUUUUUAGUCGGUGGAUGUGAUCUGUCUGCUUAAUUGCGUUAACGGACGAGACCCCAGCCUGCUAAAUAGCGCGGCCGAGCUUUGCUCGGUGCGAGCUUCUUAGAGGGACCAUGAUGCGCGAUAGCACAAGGAAGUUUGGGGCAACAACAGGUCUGUGAUGCCCUUAGAUGUUCUGGGCCGCACACGGGCUACACUGGCGCCUGCAACGAGCAUAUCAGCUGGCCCGAGAGGGUCUUGGCUAAUCUUUGGAACCGGCGCCGUGCUUGGGAUUGACCAUUGCAAUUGUUGGUCAUGCAACGAGGAAUGCCUUGUAAACGCGAGUCAUCAGCUCGCAUUGAAUACGUCCCUGCCCUUUGUACACACCGCCCGUCGCUCCUACCGAUGAAUGUUCCGAUGAAAUUUUCGGAGAGCACCAGAGAACGGGGCUCCGCCUUGCAGAUCUGGAGGCUCAAAGUCACUUAAAUCUGAACAUUUCGAGGAAGGAGAAGUCGUAACAAGGUAACC